UAAAGGAUGAUUGGCUUUAUGUGUUCGACACAAUUAUCUAUAAAUACGUUCAACCAUGGGAUUCAUUAUAUCAGUAAAGUAUCAUCCUUUAGGAUACAUACAUCAUCAAAAAUAUUGAUACAAGAUUUCUUACUAUACAUCAAAAUACUUAAGAUGCCAUUUUUGGGAGGAGGAGUAAAUGGAAUGAAACUCCUAGUUUUAUCUAUGAUGGGUAUAACCUGAUAAUCUUAGGACAAAGCUUUAACAGAAUAAAUAUUACUUAAAAGUCAAUUACAAUAUUAGUAUAUUUUUUGGAAGGAAUGAUGGUUUCAUCACAAAUUAUUACUUCAGAUAAUCUAUGCUCCAAAACAGAUAAAUAAAGAAUAUUUUUUUUCCGUCAAA
rnacentral:lncRNA from 1 species